rnacentral:SRP_RNA from 1 species
GCUAGGUAUGGUGGCGCACACCUGUAGUCCCAGCUACUCAGGAGGCUGAUGAAGGAGGAUCUCAUGAGCCCAGGAGAUCAAGGAUGCAGUGAGCUAUAAUUAUGCCACUGCAUUCCAGCCUGGGCAACACAGUGAGAUUCUGUCUCAA